GGUCUGGGAAAACGGCAUCAGGCAGGAGUGAAAAGAAGAAAAAUCAGGGUGGUUCAGAGAACUCAUCUUCUGACGUACACAGAAACUGCCGGAGGUGAUUUGAAGGGCAUCUUCUGGGAGCCAAUUUCGAAGAGUGAUUGGCUAAUAAAGGAGGUGGUAUAAUCAUAUCCAUUUGUAACAGAGGAAAUGGUGACUUGGAGGUACCUUGUAAUUUUCACAGCAAGGGAGUUCACGGGUGAGUGGUUCACAUACGGUAUCCUAUAUCUCUGGCUCUUUCACUUCCAGUGGAGAAUCAGGCAAACAGCAGUACUUAGAUAAGAGCAAUCAACCAGGCUUAUUCCUGUCUCCAGCAUGCCUCCUGCCAUCCUAUCUGCAGUUGCUCACCCCCUCACCCCCUACCAGGGGAGAGGGUUUAACCUCAGGUACCUGGUUUCUUUCAGCUCAUUGCUUUACCCACUUAGGUGUGGUGCCUGAGAAAAGCAAGAAUAUGACUGUGAUUUUUCUUAGCUAUUUUUUAAUGUUCAAAUCAGCUGUUUGAAAAUCAAGUCAAGAUAUAAUAAUAGGGGCUUCCCUGG